UACGGAGGGGGCUAGCGUUGUCCGAAGUUACUGGGCGUAAAGCGCGCGUAGGCGGGUUGGUAAGUCCGCUGUGAAAGCCCGGAGCUCAACUCCGGAGGGUCGGUGGAUACUGCCAGUCUUGAAGGUGCUAGGGGGAGAUGGAAUUCCCGGUGUAGUGGUGGAAUGCGUAGAUAUCGGGAGGAACACCAGUGGCGAAGGCGGUUACCUGGAGCUUUGCUGACGCUGAUGCGCGAAAGCGUGGGGAGCGAUCCGG
rnacentral:rRNA from 1 species